UGGCAUCGAUGAAGAACGCAGCGAAAUGCGAUAAGUAGUGUGAAUUGCAGAAUCCAGUGAAUCAUCGAAUCUUUGAACGCACAUUGCGCCCCUCGGUAUUCCGUGGGGCAUGCCUGUUCGAGCGUCAUUU
rnacentral:rRNA from 1 species